rnacentral:lncRNA from 1 species
CUUUCACUUAAAUAGCAUUUGGAUUUCUUAAAAUCCACAAAGUUUAUAUUAGAGCGUCAUCCAUUAAUGCUUUGGCUAGGAGGGGGUCUAUCGCCCUGGUUGGAGUGCAGCAGUGUAAUCAUAGCUCACUGCUGCCAUGAACUUCUGGGCUCAAGCGAUCCUCCCACCUCAGCCUCCCUGUGUGCUGGGAUUAAAAGUGUGAGCCACCGUGCCUCAUCGUAAGGGUCUUAAAAGAAACCCUAUUUCAUGUUUGCUUUCCAUAUGCUGGAUGAUGUGUGUGGAUUUUCAGUGUGUGUUUCAGAGUCUUAAAAGCUCAUGCUAGCUUGCUUAACAUACCUGCCAUAACUCAUGAUAUAGAACCCUAUGGAGAACUGUGUUGCAACAUGGAUGCAGUGCCUAUACUAAGGCACAUUGCCAAGCUGAAGACUGUCAGAGAGCAUCACUAACGGAGGACCUAGUUGUCUCACCUGUGGUGGUGGAAAGAGCACCAAGCUUGGAACCAGAGGGCCCAGGUUCGGGUCACUGUCAUCAUGUGAGCAUGGGCAGGGCCACUGUCAUAAGGACGCCUGGAAGAGUGAAGAAAGGCCUGAUUGAUCACAAGGUCCUAUCAAAUGUCAAAGCUGGCCCUGGCUGACCUCCCAUCUAUUCAGAGCUGCUUUGAUUUAAUCUCCAAACUGGCUGCUUCUCCAGGCUGUGAGUUCUAUCUGCAACCCAUGUGUCAGCAUUGAGAUAUGACCUGCUUCACGCUCCAUUCAUCUCAUUUGAAGGACGGAAAUUAAACUCGAGGGUCGAAGAGGGGAACUGCUCAAAAUACACACACACAUUAACUGAAGCCUUUUGUAGAAGAGAAUUGAAAAUUUCAAGAAGGCAAAGGUGAUGGAAGUGUCUUCAUGAGACCCUUGGGUAACAUAAAUUGGCAAAGAAUUGGAUGAUCUGGGUUCUAAGAUCUGGCCUUAAAACUAGCCAUCUAUUGACUGAGUCAGAAGUCUGACCCAGACCUCCCUGGACUAAACUCAAGAUGUCAUCAGAG